AAUGACAAUGCGUAUAAGGUAGAUCUUCCUUGUAAUUACAACGUAUCAGCUACUUUUAAUGUGAAAGACUUGACUCCAUACUUGGAUGACUAUGACGAUUCUGAUUUGAGGACAAAUCAUUUUCAACCCGGGGCUGAUGAUGUGCAUCAUGGGAAUUAUAAUCCAUCUUGUAAAGCUAAAACUAAUAUGCAAGAGGAUUCAGAUGGUCCAAUGACAAGAGCGAGAGC
rnacentral:lncRNA from 1 species